GAGCAGGUGGGGUGAGUUACCCAGAUCAGGAGUACAUAAUGGCUAGGGGCUGGUUUGCUCUGUACGUGAGGGGGUCUGUGCUGUUGUGUUGGUUCCAGGAGGUAGUUAUGAAGAAGAUGAAUGAGAAAGCAUUCCUGUUGGGGGACAUAAAGCUUAUGUUUUCUUGCCAGGAGAAGUGAGUGUGACGAGGCUCCUGGCUGAUCAUCCAGAAUUUCUGGUCACAAUACUGAUUUCAGGCAGUUGCACUGAGGUGGAAAAAAUUGUCAUAAACCUUCCAUUGGUACAAGAAUGUAUGAACUGUCAUUAGGGACCUGAUCAGUGAUUCAUUGCAUCCACUUAUCUGUCUCUAACAAUAGUCUUUGCUACAGUUACAGAGCUACUAAGAAAACCUGGAGCAACAAAUCCUGAGUAGAAACUGGUAGAAGACCCCUUGUCAUUAAGCCUGUAAAUUUGUUUUAUUUUCCUCAAAUUAUUUUGUAAAUUUUGCUAAAGUACUGUUAAUGGAUGUUCAAAUAAGGGGGGAAACAUAAAACCCAACAUCCCUUCUGACUUGAUUGGAGCCAUAUCUCUCCUGGUGGUAGUGAUUUCAUUCCAUUUGGUUUUGGAAUAAAAUUUUCCUUCAGAAAAUAUCAGUGCUUUACAUUACUUGAAUCUACGGCCUUGUAGAGUUCCUUUUCCUACUGUGCAGUCUUUGCAGUCUGUGAUGUUGUUGGAGUGGCAUAACGCUGCUUCAAAAUAAGGGGCAGGCAGCAACAACAACAAACAGCCAAGAUCUGGCUGUGACAAUUACAGCUAGACAAAACCAACUCCAAUGAAGAUAAAUCAGGAGGGAAUCAAUUUCUCAUGAGUCCUUCAGAAACUUGCAAAGACUUUCGCUGGCAUGCUUCUGCAAGUUAAAAUGCUAACACAUACGGUGUUUUUCUUUAUCAGCUUUGAGGCAUGUAAAUAAUGGUGAAAAAGUGAUAUAAAUAUUUAGAGUGGGAUCUGGUCUGUGCUA